rnacentral:rRNA from 1 species
UCGAGGGGUAGGGUGCUUCGGCACUUGAGACCGGCGUACGGGUGCGUAACGCGUGUACAAUCUACCUUUUGCUAAGGGAUAGCCCGAAGAAAUUUGGAUUAAUACCUUAUAGUAUUAUUUGGUGGCAUCAUUAAAUAAUUAAAGCUACGGUGGCAAAAGAUGAGUACGCGUCCCAUUAGCUAGUUGGAGUGGUAACGGCACACCAAGGCUACGAUGGGUAGGGGUUCUGAGAGGGAUGUCCCCCACACUGGUACUGAGACACGGACCAGACUCCUACGGGAGGCAGCAGUGAGGAAUAUUGGACAAUGGUCGGAAGACUGAUCCAGCCAUGCCGCGUGCAGGAUGACGGCCUUAUGGGUUGUAAACUGCUUUUGUAUGGGAAGAAUAAGGUCUACGUGUAGAUUGAUGACGGUACCAUACGAAUAAGCAUCGGCUAACUCCGUGCCAGCAG